rnacentral:rRNA from 1 species
UACGUAGGUGGCAAGCGUUGUCCGGAUUUACUGGGCGUAAAGAGCGCGCAGGCGGUCGUUCAAGUCGCGUGUGAAAGCCCCCGGCUCAACUGGGGAGGUUCACGCGAUACUGAUCGACUCGAAGGCAGGAGAGGGUAGUGGAAUUCCCGGUGUAGUGGUGAAAUGCGUAGAUAUCGGGAGGAACACCAGUGGCGAAGGCGACUACCUGGCCUGUUCUUGACGCUGAGGCGCGAAAGCUAGGGGAGCAAACGGG